AGUGGGAUAGCUGGGUCAAAUGGUGAUUCCAUCCAAGUUUUCUGAGGAAUCUCCAUACUGCUUUCCAUAGCGAUUGAACCAAUUUGCAGUCCCACCAGCAAU
rnacentral:pre_miRNA from 1 species